AGGAUUAUAGUUUAAAAUAAAACAUUUGAUUUGCACUCAAAAAAUAUUACUAAAUAAUUUAUCUUA
rnacentral:tRNA from 1 species